rnacentral:lncRNA from 1 species
CUCAGGUAAAACCCAUGCAGGCUUUGUGGGUUUAAUGGCUUUUGAAGACCUUGAGAGCCUGCACAGCCGCUCACUUUCAUUUCAUACUCUUACAAACACCGGGGGAGCAAUGAUCAUCUGAACGGUUAAAAUGAUUUAGGGAAGUGAAAGUUACUUUUUUUUUCUUUUUCUUUCCAGUCUCGAAAUUGCUUCAAAUCAUUUGCCACUCUGAGUGGACUCCAGUCCCUCCAGCACCCAUUGUCCCCCUGUGGCUUCCCAGGACCCAUUUCCUGCCCUUGGAUUUCCUUUUUAAUUUCCCAAACAAGAUUGUAUUUUACAUUUCAGAUAUUACUCUGAAGAACAACAAUGAAGACCACCACAGUGAAAAAUGCUCAGGACAAAAUCAAGUCAUAAACAAGCAAGGACAUGGGAGUCAACCUCAGGAUUGGUCUGCGUGGUGUAUCCAGGGAAAUUCACCCUUGACUCCGGCCAGGAGGGGCACCUAAAGUUAAGUCUUAGUUCAAGAUCUAACUCAUCCAGCUGGGGUGGUGCUGGUGCGUGCCUCUGAUCUCAGCACUCUUGAAGGUAAGGUGAUGAUGGAGACGUGGAGAUCAGCUUGGGUUACAAAGUGGGACUCAGUCGCAAAACAGACAGACACAUAAACCAGCAAAGCCAAUCUCUGUGAUCCAGUUGUGACUAAG